UUUGGCAGAACCAUGGAGUGGAAGAGGCCACGUGGGAGAAAGAAGAGGACAUGAGAGCCCAGUACCCCGAGCUGUUCGAGGAUUAGAACUUUCGAGGACGAAAGUUUUCUAAGGAGGGGAGAUUGUAACGCCCCGCCAAAUUUGUCUUCCCUUUUUAUCGUCUUAAGAGUAAAAUUCUUGAAAUUUCUUUCGAAUUGAGGAAAUUUUUACUCGUGAUUAAUGAAGAUUUAGAGAUUUUUGUGGGUGAUUUAAUUUGUUAAGUUGGUUGUUAUUUGGACUAAAGUAGGAAGAAAAAAAAAAAGGGGGGGAUAAAAGAAAUAAUAUUUAUGUUUUUUAUUUAGUAUUAAUUCUUUUAUAAAAGGGGGCUUUGGAAAGCGUGUAGUUCACCUCUUCCCCAAGAAGUGAAAAAAAAAAAAAAGAAGAAAACCCUAAAUCCCAAUCUCCCCCGCCGCCGCCGCCGCCGCCGCCGCUAGUCAACCGCCGUAGGUCACCACGCCGGUCUCCCAGCAGCGUCGAAGAUCGGUCCACGUCGAGCCGCCGCGCGCCAAGGAUCGAAGCCGCCGCACGCCAAGGAUCGAAGCCGCCUUCAGUCGGGAGUCGCAAGCCGAAGCCGAAGCCCAUCGCGUCUGCAAGCCGAAUCGUGGCGGCCAGCCGAAGCCGAAUCGCGUCGCUUCGUUUCGACGCCGAGCAGCCCCCGUCCGCAGCCGCCGAGCGAAGCCGCAUUUAAGCCGGACCACCGCAACCCGUCGCGCAACCCGAGUCCGGAAGUCAGCGUCACUCUGCGCGAAGAUCAGACCCGACCGAAGACCCGCUCCGCGACCCGAGCCAACGCGCGCCGUAUUCCGGAAACCGACCCGCGCCCGCGUGCACCCGCGUGUGAGCCGCGCCGCGCGCUUCUGCGUAGCCGAGCCGCGUCUCCCUCCUGUUGCAAGCCGAGCCGCACGCGUAGUUCCUGUCCAAGCUGAGCCGCGCCUGUCUGCACCGCGAGCCGAGCCGAUCUCCAGCCUCCAAGCCGAGCCGGUUCCUGCCCUAUUUUCCAGCCGAGCCGCCAAGCUUAUUUUGGCUCCUCCCACCUAUUUUUGGUAAAUUAAGUAUUUAUUUUGGGCAUUUCCCCAAUACGACCCAAUGUUUUGGGCGCUAAAUAAUUUAAUUUGGACUAAAUUAAAUUAUUUUUCCUAAGGAACGUCUUGGACCGAGUAACUGCUGCAGCGGGAGAUUUUCUUCAGUAGGGGCUCAACCACUGCAACCUUUUCUGGGGAUCCCGUUGCUUGGAAAGCACACGUGUCUUGCGGUUAGGACUCGUCGAGUGAAUCUCCAGGUAAGAGAUUCUACUACUAGUUUCAUGUUUGAAGUAUGAGACUGUGUAUGCCCUAUGUUGCAUAUUGAGGAUUUGACAGUAUGAUGCCUGAAAUAAACGCUAGUAUGAUGCAAAUGACGAUAUAGUUGUGCUAUAGCCUGUUAUGUGUGGCAAGAUCCAUUAUGGUUACGACGAAUGUCGGGACGGAGAAUGUAGAAAUGAUUAUGUGACAUGUUAUAUGCUGAUGCCAUGUGUAUGUAUACUGCAAUUAGGGUACCUGUUAGCUUGAUUCUGUUAGAGUCGUACCUGCAUGGGUGUCCUUCGGGAUCACCACCUAUUGAGGACUGUGUGGUCCGACGGGACGCCAGUCUAGCAUGAUAUAGACAUGACUCGAGUGACUCGACGGGGUCCUCGCAUCCCGACUGUCCUAGGUGUCCCCGGGCACCGAAGACCAGAGUUACGUUCCUACGGGAGCGCAUGAUUGCACGUGUUCGGGAACGUGCCAGAGAUUGGGUACCAGUUAUCAGGACUCUAACAGGAAGUUAACAGGCACCUAGUGGGACUAGUAGUGGGUCCCUUACUGAGUAUUUUUAUACUCAUUCUCUCCAUUUUAUGUUUUCAGGUAGAGGACGAGGCAAGGGCAAGGGCAAACUGGCGAGCGACCCGAAGUGAGACCGAGGAGGGCCAUAGGGACUACCGCUUCCGCUUAUUUCUUAUUUCAGAUUUUAGCAUUUGAGUUUGAGUACUUUUUUUAUUUUUCACUAUCUUUUAUGUAGAUAGGGCCCGAGUAGGAUUUCAGAACGUUUUUACAUUUUUGCACGACUACCUUGUUUAUGCUUUUAUAAAUGAAUUUCUUGAACCGUAUGCUUUUAAUAAAAUUUUAUGACUUAAA